rnacentral:lncRNA from 1 species
CCGGGAUCUCGAUUGGGGGCGAUGGCACCCCGCACGCUGCUCCUGCUGCUGGCGGCCGCCCUGGCCCCGACCCAGACCCAGGCGGGUGAGUGCGGGGUCGGGAGGGAAAUGGCCUCUGCGGGGAGGGGCGGAGGGGGGGCAUCGGGGAAGCCGGGUCCCCGCGUCGCACACCAGACCCCCGCCCCUUCUCCACCCGCGUCCCGAGCCCCGCGCCCUGCUCCCCGCCCGGCCCGCGCACCCGCCCGGGGUCCCGGGAGGAGGUCGGGGUCUCACUGCACGCCGCCCCCAGGCUCACACUCGCUGCGGUAUUUCGACAUCGCUGUGUCCCGGCCCGGCCUCGGGGAGCCCCGGUUCAUUAUCGUCGGCUACGUGGACGACAGGGAGGUCAUGCGCUUCGACAGCGACGCGGAGAAUCCGAGGAUGAAGCCUCGGGCGCGGUGGAUGGAGCGGGAGGGGCCGGAGUAUUGGGAGCGGCAGACACGGAAAG